AAAGUAGGUUUGUGUCCACUUGGUUGUUUCAUUCGACUUAUACACAUCAUUUACUUUAUUUCGAAUGGUUAUUUUUUAAGCCUUGGUUUUGGUACAAUAUGUAAAGGCGUCAGUCUUUGUGCAAUAUUAAAUCUUCAUUCAAGAACUGUUCUUCGUGUCUUUGCCUUUGUUUCUGCAUUGCUCCUGUACUUCUGUGAACCAUAUUUCAGUGAGUAACGAUGACAAUAGCAGUCCAGCCUGCAUGGGUGCUGACAUGGAUGCUGUCUCCCAUUCUUACCACUGGAUGUGAAGAAAUGCUAGAUGCAAUCCAGCCAAUCUGUACUCGACUCUCAGUUCCAUCUUCUCAACUCACAGUGUCUUCCAAAGUCCAUGCCACACUACAGCCUGGAACAUCUCCCAACGUGGUAUCUUGAGGCAGUGGUAGAGCUCAUGUCACAGUAUUGUAUGUCUCAGUUGUCUUGAUGGUGUACUCUGCAUCUUAAAAGGCUUUGAAUAACUCACCAGUGAAGUCAUCUUGACCUGGACAGAAAUUGAAUCCUCCCAAGAAUCCCAGGAGCUUGGAAGGGGAUCCUUCCCCAGAUGAGACUUCUCUUGAAAUCUCUGCCAGGCAUCUGACGCA